ensembl:lncRNA
GUCUACUUUGACUUCAGAUUUUUCUCGUCCGUCCACCCAGAUGACCUCUGACCCUCCUCCUUCGUAUCGUCCCCAGUUCCCAGAAGGACCCUCUGCUCCCGGUUUCCCUCCAGCUCUCGGCUCUCAGCCCGCAGCCUUCCCUGGCUCUCCGUUCCAGAUGUUCCCUCAGGCCUACGCGGGUGGAGGAGACCACUCCUACUACCAGGGACCACCGGGCCCUCCAGGAGCCUUUUUGACUCAGCCUGGGUACCAGGGCUUCCACAGUGGGACCCCAGGACCCUCGUACCUCUGGGACGGCCCAAAGCCGUACGCAGAACCACCUAAACACACAGUGUUCAUGGUCGGGCCACAGGAUCAACAUCACGGUAAAGAUUCGUGUCUGAAAGCGUGUUCAGCUCUUCUGUGCUGCUGCUGCCUCUGGGACAUGUUGACCUCUCACCUCUGCUGCCCUCUGAACUGACCUGCACCGAGUCUCCCAUCAUGCAGCGGGGCUUCUUGUGGGACACUGGUUAUUAGAGUCAAGGAUGUAUUAAGAGAGGAUCCUCUUAAUACACCGGAUGCAGCGCUGCCAGUCAGUAUUACGACAGAUCGUUUUCUACACAGACCAGAGCUAAAUGAGAAAAUGAGGUCAGCUUUUCAUCUCAUCAUCAUGAUUUAAGGAAAGAACAUAUUUUAAGUGCACGUUAUGUACAUGUGACAGGUUGAUUCUAUUGUAACUGCACUAGCUGUCACUAUACUGUACUCAUAGAGCUAGGGUUCCAACACACACGUUCUUCUUUUAACCACAUUUUCCUAAUUAAACAGAUGAAAACUAAAAGGUUUAUUACCCACUGCUAAUCCACUGUUGUUUGUCUGAGUUUUAAACAUUGAGUUACCCUUCUGUAAGAACUAAAGCCUCCUCUGACGACACAUUCAGGCUCUUUUAAAUAAAGAAAUCCGUGAACAAACCCUGUUCGGACUUUGUGCUGACGUUCAGGCUGCGCUCCACAUCGGGCUGAUCGACCGACCCUACAGUGUGAGUUCUGGACAAUUCAACAUGUAAUGUAAAGAUUAAAAUCGCACAGCGUUCAGCUUCAUGACAAACAGACUAAAGGAACAGACAGACAGGCUGGAAAACGCUUUGACUCGUGCAUUAACUGAAACACUUUUGGUCCAGUAUCCAGUUCUGAUAAAACAUCCAGGAUUAAAAUCAAACUGUUCUAAACUCAAUAAAACGUUUCAUUAACACGAUGAAGAGCUGUUUAUGCAUUUUCAUCCUCUUCCUUCUGAUUUGUCUGGUUUCAAAGCAAACAGAGAAAUAAAUAUUAAUGUAGGUUGGUAUUUAGCUAAAUAAGUGGUUUAUAAUGAGUGAAGCACCUUAAACUAUGAAUUCAAGUGUCAGGAAAAAUGAUUAUGUUUAUUUAUUAUGUUAAAUAUGAAGUUUUGCUUUUACACAAACGAGACGCGGCUUUUCUUUUUAAAGUAGGAAGUCUUUGACAUGAUUUUCAUGUUCCAGGUUCAUUAUUAAGGUUCCAGUACUAAAAUACAAAAAAGAAAACUAAGAAAACCAGACUAUGAAGUAAAAAACUGCAUAUUUAGAGUAUUUGUGUAUAUAGAGUACAGUACUAGGAAACAAAACUGGGUUAACAUUUUCAGUUUUUAACUCAAGAGGAAAAAGACAUAAUACUGUAGUGAGAUAAUAAAACAUGUUGAUGUAGGUGAAUAAGGAUUGAAAUGAAUGUAACUGUGCACCGUGUCCCCUGACUGAUUAUUGUACUGACUGUGACCAGCAGUCAGCAGGAAGAAGAGGAUCUGCAGAAAGUUCACCUGUUGGACAGGUGACUGUUAACACACAAAGGAAAACGACAUUUAGGGCUCACUUUAUCACACACACACCUUCACACAGCAGGAUGUAAACGUGGGCCCAGAGGAAGCAGGUUCCCGUUUUCAGACUUGGACAGACGCGUUUUCUUUGUAUUGUGUCUUGAUUUUUGUGGAAUUAACUUAAUCCUUGUUGGCAAUUACAGAGGUAAGACGUUUCUUUUAGUUGGUUACCAGGGUGGUUACAUCUCACGUCUCAACUUCUCUAAAUCUUUAAGAUUUCUUGGCUUUCUUGAUUUCUUGGUCACUUACAACCUGGCAUCUCACCUUCCUUUAUAUAAUUUCUGUAGGAUUAAGGUCUGGAGACUGUCCAGGUCUCUACAAGACCUUAAAGGACACGUUACACCACUUUUGUAGCUGCUGCAUCAGGUUCAGAGUGGUGAACUCAGCAGCACCGGCACCUGAACUCCCUCAUCCUGGUCUGGUUGAGUGUAGUUUAUGUCACAGGAAGUGAAACCCUGUAUGUGGGUUGUUAGUUUGCUUUGUUCACAGCGUUUUUAAAAUCAACUCACAACUUCCUGUGUGUUUGAUAUGAAUAUUUCUGUGUCUGUAAAAUGGUCAGAGGUGAAUUUACCACUGAACACUGAAGAAACAAUAUACAGAAUUAAGUCAUUUAGAUUUAGUCAUUUAGCAGACGCUUUUAUCCAAAGCGACUUACAAGUGAGGAACAAGGCAAGCAAACAAAAUCUAAGUCAAGGAGAAAAAGUCAAGGAGAAAAAACAAAGCAUGUGAUAUCAAAAAAGUGUUUCUGUUUCAAGAGAUGUAAGAACAAAAGAGUAGAAAAGUUUUUUGUUUUUCUUUUAAGUGAAAACGAAGAUGAUGAAGAGUUCUGUUUUCAGCUGUUUUUAAUUAUUAAAGUGAGGUGGCUGAGCGUGCAGAGAUAGGCAGCUCAUUCCACCAUCGUGGGAUCACUGAGCUGAAGAGUUUUCCAUGGUGUUGACUGUGUGGUGCUGGUACCACCAGAUGUCGUGCACUGGUCGAGAGCUGUGGACGGGAGGGGAUGUAGACCUGAAUCAUUGAACUGAGAUAAGAUGGAGGUAUAGAAAUGACCACUCUGUAGGCAAGAGACAGAGCUUUGAACUUAAUCCUUGCAGCCAUAGGAAGCCAAUGCAAAGAUCUGAAGAGCGGUGUGACAUGAGACAGGCAGAGAUGCGAGACAAGACAGUAGAGUCAUUAGGUGGAAAGGACAGGAAGAGCUGUGUGUCAUCUGCAUAGCAGUGAUAAGAAAAGCCAUGAGAAUGGAUGAUAGAGCCUAGAGAAGAAGUAUAGAUGGAAAACAGAAGAGGACCAAAGGCUGAGCCCUGCGGUACACCGGUGGAGAGGUUAUAAGAGUCGGAAACACGCCCCUGCCAGGAUACCUUAAAGGUUCGUUUGGACAAGUAUGACCGAAGCCAGGCUAGAGCUGAUCCAGAGAUGCCCAAGUCUGAGAGUGCAGGCAUGAGAAUCUGAUGGUUCACAGUGUCAAAGGCUGCAGAUAGGUCUAAUAGAAUAAGGACAGAAGAUUUACCUGCAGCUUUUGCCACCCGUAGAGAUUCCACAACAGUCAGAAGUGCCGUCUCUGUGGAGUGACCACUCUUCAAGCCAGACUGAUUGACGUCAAGGAGGAUGUUCCGGGAAAGAAAGUCAGAGAGUUGAUUGAAGGCUGCACGUUCCAGAGUCUUGGCCAGGAAUGAAAGAAGAGAGUAGUAGUUCUCCACAAGGGAGAAGGCUUCUUCAACAGUGGAGUAAUCUGGGCCUGCUUGAACGAGGUGGGAAAGGUGCCUGUCAUAACAAAUACUUUAAAGUCAUAUUAGAAAUAACAGAUAUAUGUUAUCUAAUAUCUGCUGUCUACAUGAACUGAAAUAACACUUUUAUAAUAAAGUACAAAUGAAAAGCAGUAAAGACACAUGUCUUUGCACAGAACUGUUCACCUGCUCAAGUGGAUCUGACUUCCUGUCACUGUCUGAUCAUCUCUCAUUGCACACAUUAAAGUAACACAGUUAUGAAUUUGCCUUCUCUAGAAGAAGAGAAUGAAAAGGCAAGUGACAGAACGACUGUUCUGAUAGCUUUACUGUCACUUGUCCACAUGAUGAUGACGAACAUCACAACUCAACAUCACCUCAACUCUUCAGUCUCUAGAGGACAUGUCGUGACAACACUAACGAUUACAGUUAACUGCAGUAAAUGUGCAUUGAAUGUAAAUACUGACUGUGAGCAGCAAGAUGAGGACACAAACACAUAUUAAUUAAACCUUAUCAAACUUCAUUCAUUAAAUUUUCCUUCAUUUAGCUCUUGUCUUUAGAUUUUUACAUGAUAAUGUUACAGUGCGG